UCCACCUGCUUGGGCGAGCGAGCUCACGAGAGAGUGUCAUGGAAAGUCCACGACUCGAUUGAAAUAAGACAAACGACGGGAAUAGUGUUGUAUUUCAAACAAGAUUACCUGAACUAUGGGACUCAUCAUAUGGCAGAGAAAACUCAGACCUGUCCUGCAUUUGGGCUGGAUUAUGUUGUCAUUAAUCAAGACUAUUAAAUUGUAUUUUAGCUGACACCAUAAAAUAAUUAAGUAAUAUGCAAUCCCAAAAAUAUCUGAAUUCGACAGUAUACAACAUAAAGCCUGGAGAGAUGGUCCUUCCCGAUAAGAGCUCGGGGCCCAAAACGGUAUUCGGGAAACGGCCCCAGAGACUCCCCUCCCCGGCCCUGUGCUGCGCCUGUGGCCUGUGCAUUAUGCUGGCGGGCAUCAACAUCACCCUGGUGGGGGCCUUUGCUUUCAAGUCCUUCAUCCCCACCAGCAACCCACCCAUCGUCAUCGGGCCCCUCCUCCUACUGGUGGCCCUGUCCUUUUUUGGGGCGUGCUGUGUGUGUGGGCGGCGGCCACCAACCCACAAUGCCGGCAAGGCCAAGGGGGACGAGAGCUGGGGUCGGACGCGGAUAGGGGCCGGCGUCACAUUUGAGAUGGAGACGAGCGAGCACACGCUGCAGGACACCACUGCUGUGCAGCUCAGUCCCACCAACUCUCAGAGCUCCUCCCACAAGUCUAGUAACUCCGCCCAUGGGGAUACCUCUGCAGUAGGGGCCUGUGAGGAUGGCCCCGCCCCCAGGGCCUGUGAUCUCGCCAGCUCAGAGGCCUAUGAUAUAGAUGUGAGACCUGAUGACCAGCUCUUGACCUCUGAGGACCAGAUCUUGACCUCUGAGGACCAGCUCUUGACCUCUGAGGACCAGCUUUUGACCUCUGAGGACCAGCUUUUGACCUCUGAGGACCAGGCAUUGACUGCUGAUAUUGAAGAUAAGGGGAGCAUCCAGAUGACGUGACUAUACAAGCCUUGCCCAACGUAGCAUGGCUGUCUACUGGCUAUUACAUAAACUGGUACUAUAUCCUGUGUGACAAUGACCUGUGUAUCACUAUAUAUUGACUUGCCUAGUUAAAUAAAGGUUAAAUAUCCCUCUAGUACUAUAAACUGGUACUAUAUACAGUGGGGCAAAAAAGUAUUUAGUCAGCCACCAACUGUGCAAGUUCUCCCACCUAAAAAGAUGAGAGAGGCCUGUAAUUUUCAUCAUAGGUACACUUCAACUAUGACAGACAAAAUGAGAAAAAAAAUCCAGAAAAUCACAUUGUAGGAUUUUUAAUUAAUUUUUUUGCAAAUUAUGGUGGAAAAUAAGUAUUUGGUCACCUACAAACAAGCAAAGAUUUCUGGCUCUCACAGACCUGUAACUUCUUCUUUAAGAGGCUCCUCUGUCCUCCACUCGUUAGCUGUAUUAAUGGCACCUGUUUGAACUUGUUAUCAGUAUAAAAGACACCUGUCCACAACCUCAAACAGUCACACUCCAAACUCCACUAUGGUCAAGACAAAAGAGCUGUCAAAGGACACCAGAAACAAAAUUGUAGACCUGCACCAGGCUGGGAAGACUGAAUCUGCAAUAGGUAAGCAGCUUGGUUUGAAGAAAUCAACUGUGGGAGCAAUUAUUAGGAAAUGGAAGACAUACAAGACCACUGAUAAUCUCCCUCGAUCUGGGGCUCCAAGCAAGAUCUCACCCCGUGGUGUCAAAAUGAUCACAAGAACGGUGAGCAAAACUCCCAGAACCACACGGAGGGACCUAGUGAAUGACCUGCAGAGAGCUGGGACCAAAGUAACAAAGCCUACCAUCAGUAACACACUACGCCGCCAGGGACUCAAAUCCUGCAGUGCCAGAUGUGUCCCCCUGCUUAAGCCAGUACAUGUCCAGGCCCAUCUGAAAUUUGCUAGAGAGCGUUUGGGUGAUCCAGAAGAAGAUUGGGAGAAUGUCAUAUAAUCAGAUGAAACCAAAAUAGAAGUUAUUGGUAAAAACUCAACUUGUCGUGUUUGGAGGACAAAGAAUGUUGAGUUGCAUCCAAAGAACACCAUACCUACUGUGAAGCAUGGGAGUGGAAACAUCAUGCUUUGGGGCUGUUUUUCUGCAAAGGGACCAGGACGACUGAUCCGUGUAAAGGAAAGAAUGAAUGGGGCCGUGUAUCGUGAGAUUUUGAGUGAAAACCUCCUUCCAUCAGCAAGGGCAUUGAAGAUGAAACGUGGCUGAGUCUUUCAGCAUGACAAUGAUCCCGUAAGAAGCAUUUCAAGGUCCUGGAGUGGCCUAGCCAGUCUCCAGAUCUCAACCCCAUAGACAAUCUUUGGAGGGAGUUGAAAGUCCGUGUUGGCCAGCAACAGCCCCAAACCAUCACUUCUCUAGAGGAGAUCUGCAUGGAGGAAUUGGGAAGACUUACAGAAAAUGUUUGACCUCUGUCAUUGCCAACAAGGGGUAUAUAACAAAGUAUUGAGAAACUUUUGUUAUUGACCAAAUACUUAUUUUCCACCAUAAUUUGCAAAUAAAUUCAUUAAAAAUCCUACAAUGUGAUUUUCUGGAUUUUUUUCCUCAUUUUGUCUGUCA
ensembl:lncRNA